UUGAUGCAUAUGGAGGAGAGAAGCAAUGUGGGUUCAGCUUGGAACCAUCGCCCAACACAACCAUAGAGGCUACCUUUACCCCAGAUGGUCAGUACGUCGUAUCAGGCUCGGGAGAUGGAACCUUGCAUGCGUGGAACAUUAACAAGCGUGCGGAGGUUGCAAGCUGGAACAGUCACAUAGGCAUUGCCUCUUGCUUGAAAUGGGCUCCUCGCAGGGUCAUGUUCGUUGCUGCAUCCACUGUUCUUACAUUCUGGAUCCCCAACACUUCCAAGUCUACAGGCGAGUCGGGUAUGGAAUUCAAUUCUCAUUCUCAAGCCGAACAUAUAUCUCAAUGAAAGGCGAAUCGGGUAUGGAAUUCAAUUCUGAUUCUCAAGCCGAACAUAUAUCUCAAUGAAAGGCGAAUCGGGUAUGGAAUUCAAUUCUG
rnacentral:misc_RNA from 1 species